CAGUGAGCCAAUGAAGAAGUCACUGUUGUUAUCCCUGUUACGUGGAUGAGGAAACUGAGACAUGGAAAGAUGAAAUCAACUGCCCAAGAUUUCAGCUGGGUCUCACUCAGGACACCACCAUACAUUUAGUUGUCAUGUCUCCUUAGGCUCGUCUUAUCUGUGACAGGUUCUCAGAUCUUCCUUGUUUUGAAUGACCUGGACAGCUUUGGUCAGAAUCAGACGUGCUCGCAGCAGCAUGGCAGCCAAAUGUCAAGUGCUGCACCUCUCAGCGUGGAGACACUCAGAAACCCUGGCUGGAAAAGGAACUUGGAUUCACCUCUUGAAGUGCACACCAUGCGGGAGAGCUGGGC